UGGGGAAUAUUGCACAAUGGGCGAAAGCCUGAUGCAGCAACGCCGCGUGAGCGAUGAAGGCCUUCGGGUCGUAAAGCUCUGUCCUCAAGGAAGAUAAUGACGGUACUUGAGGAGGAAGCCCCGGCUAACUACGUGCCAGCAGCCGCGGUAAUACGUAGGGGGCUAGCGUUAUCCGGAUUUACUGGGCGUAAAGGGUGCGUAGGUGGUUUCUUAAGUCAGGAGUGAAAGGCUACGGCUCAACCGUAGUAAGCUCUUGAAACUGGAGAACUUGAGUGCAGGAGAGGAGAGUGGAAUUCCUAGUGUAGCGGUGAAAUGCGUAGAUAUUAGGAGGAACACCAGUAGCGAAGGCGGCUCUCUGGACUGUAACUGACGCUGAGGCUCGAAAGUGCGGGAAUCAAACAGG
rnacentral:rRNA from 1 species